rnacentral:lncRNA from 1 species
CUUUAGUCUUUGCCUCAAAGAGCUUAUGGUGCAAUGUCAUUGGGGCAAGGACAGUAUAUACAAAGAGAAAGUAAAGUACUCACAGAGAAGUCCUAGCAAGGGUCCAGAAACCCAAUAUCAGAGCUUGGUUAUGUGGAACUUCCCUUUGGAGCAAUGAGAAGGGAGGGUCAGAGAGGCACUGGGAGGAGGUGGGAGGAAGGCACCAGGUCAGUACUCCUGCUGGCUUUGGCUGGAACUUAUCAUCUUCAUAAGAAGGGGCUUUCCCGUAGGUCACAUCCAGGCUGGAGAUGUCUUGCUGGGGUCAAAGUGGAAUCGAAGGCCCAGAGCUUCCAGGUUUGCAAAAAUGUAAACUCCAUCGGGCCUUACAGACGUCUCCAGACUCACUGCCUUCCAGAUGCCACUCACAAGCUCUGUUCCAGCCAAGCCCGACCACUUACAGCGAUGGAAUUGCAAGUGGUCAACCAGCCCUGGAGAUGGUUUUGGUGCCUGGAUCCUGGAGAUUUGUUUGGCCUCUUUGCCAAGACGCCUCGUGUCACACUGCAGCUCUGUCCAGAUGAUUCUAAUAAUAGCCUAAUGGAAUUCUGUGGUUGGAGGAGACCGGGAGAGGUCACUGAGUCUGUCUUCUGCCUGCAGAAGGGAGAAGAAAUUCAUCAUUAAAAAUGCAUACGGAGGGGACGCCUGGGUGGCUCAGUUGGUUAAGCGGCUGACUUCAGCUCAGGUCCUGAUCUCAUGGUUCAGUUCGCGAGUUCGAGCCCCCGCAUCAGGCUCUGUGCUCACAGCUCAGAGCCUGGAAUCUGCUUUGGAUUCUGUGUCUCCCUCUCUCUCUGCCCCUCCCCUGCUUAUGGUCUGUGUCUCUCUCUCUAAAAAAUAAAUAAAUGUUAAAAAAAUUUUUUUUAAUGCA